CCCUUAGAUGUCCUGGGCCGCACGCGUGCUACACUGAGUGGAUCAGCGGGUCAGGUUGCGCGAAAGUGUUUCCUAAUCUUUAAAUCCGCUCGUGAUGGGGAUUGACGGUUGCAAUUUUCCGUCAUGAACGAGGAAUACCUUGUAAGCGCGGGUCAUCAUCCCGCGCUGAAUACGUCCCUGCCCUUUGUACACACCGCCCGUCGCUCCUACCGAUUGAGUGGUCCGGUGAGGCUUUGGGAUCUGGGCGGAAAGAGCGUUUCGCUGUUUCUGCCCGGAAAACUCAGUCGAACCUUAUCAUUUAGAGGAAGGAGAAGUCGUAACA
rnacentral:rRNA from 1 species